UACGUAGGGGGCUAGCGUUGUCCGGAAUCAUUGGGCGUAAAGCGCGCGUAGGCGGCCCGAUAAGUCUGCUGUGAAAGUCCAGGGCUCAACCCUGGAAUGCCGGUGGAUACUGUCGAGCUAGAGUUCGGAAGAGGCAAGUGGAAUUCCUGGUGUAGCGGUGGAAUGCGCAGAUAUCAGGAGGAACACCAAUGGCGAAGGCAGCUCGCUGGGACGUGACUGACGCUGAGACGCGAAAGCGUGGGGAGCAAACAGG
rnacentral:rRNA from 1 species